rnacentral:rRNA from 1 species
GACGAACGCUGGCGGCAUGCCUAACACAUGCAAGUCGAACGGAGAUUAUUUCGGUAAUCUUAGCGGCGAACGGGUGAGUAACGCGUGGGCAACCUGCCCUCUAGAUGGGGACAACAUCCCGAAAGGGGUGCUAAUACCGAAUGUGACAGCAAUCUCGCAUGAGGAUGCUGUGAAAGAUGGCCUCUAUUUAUAAGCUAUCGCUAGAGGAUGGGCCUGCGUCUGAUUAGCUAGUUGGUGGGGUAACGGCCUACCAAGGCGAUGAUCAGUAGCCGGUCUGAGAGGAUGAACGGCCACAUUGGGACUGAGACACGGCCCAGACUCCUACGGGAGGCAGCAGUGGGGAAUCUUCCGCAAUGGGCGAAAGCCUGACGGAGCAAUGCCGCGUGAGUGAUGAAGGAAUUCGUUCCGUAAAGCUCUUUUAUUUAUGACGAAUGUGCAGAUUGUGAACAAUGAUCUGUAAUGACGGUAGUAAACGAAUAAGCCACGGCUAACUACGUG